GUGAGGAACCUGCCUUGAAGAGGGGGACAACAGUUGGAAACGACUGCUAAUACCGCAUGAAGCAUAGGGGUCGCAUGAUCCUUAUGCCAAAGAUUUAUCGCUUCAAGAUGGCCUCGCGUCUGAUUAGCUGGUUGGCGGGGUAACGGCCCACCAAGGCGACGAUCAGUAGCCGGACUGAGAGGUUGAACGGCCACAUUGGGACUGAGAUACGGCCCAGACUCCUACGGGAGGCAGCAGUGGGGAAUAUUGGGCAAUGGGCGCAAGCCUGACCCAGCAACGCCGCGUGAAGGAAGAAGGCUUUCGGGUUGUAAACUUCUUUUAAGAGGGAAGAGCAGAAGACGGUACCUCUAGAAUAAGCCACGGCUAACUACGUGCCAGCAGCCGCGGUAAUACGUAGGUGGCAAGCGUUGUCCGGAUUUACUGGGUGUAAAGGGCGUGCAGCCGGGUCUGCAAGUCAGAUGUGAAAUCCAUGGGCUCAACCCAUGAACUGCAUUUGAAACUGUAGAUCUUGAGUGUCGGAGGGGCAAUCGGAAUUCCUAGUGUAGCGGUGAAAUGCGUAGAUAUUAGGAGGAACACCAGUGGCGAAGGCGGAUUGCUGGACGAUAACUGACGGUGAGGCGCGAAAGUGUGGGGAGCAAACAGGAUUAGAUACCCUGGUAGUCCACACUGUAAACGAUGAAUACUAG
rnacentral:rRNA from 1 species